GGGGGGGGGGGGGGGGGGGGGGGGGGGGGGGGGGGGGGGGGGGCGGGGGGGGGGGGGGCGGGGGUGGUGGGAGCGGCGGGGGGGGGGGGAACACGUGGAUAACCUACCUAUAAGACUGGGAUAACUUCGGGAAACCGGAGCUAAUACCGGAUGGUAUUUUGAACCGCAUGGUUCAAAAGUGAAAGACGGUCUUGCUGUCACUUAUAGAUGGAUCCGCGCUGCAUUAGCUAGUUGGUAAGGUAACGGCUUACCAAGGCAACGAUGCAUAGCCGACCUGAGAGGGUGAUCGGCCACACUGGAACUGAGACACGGUCCAGACUCCUACGGGAGGCAGCAGUAGGGAAUCUUCCGCAAUGGGCGAAAGCCUGACGGAGCAACGCCGCGUGAGUGAUGAAGGUCUUCGGAUCGUAAAACUCUGUUAUUAGGGAAGAACAUAUGUGUAAGUAACUGUGCACAUCUUGACGGUACCUAAUCAGAAAGCCACGGCUAACUACGUG
rnacentral:rRNA from 1 species